rnacentral:rRNA from 1 species
CUUGGUCAUUUAGAGGAAGUAAAAGUCGUAACAAGGUUUCCGUAGGUGAACCUGCGGAAGGAUCAUUAUUGAAAUAAACCUGAUGAGUUGCUGCUGGUUCUCUCGGGAGCAUUGUGCACGCUUGUCAUCUUUAUAUCUCCACCUGUGCACCUUUUGUAGACCUGGAUAUUUUUUCUGAAUCCUAGGGUUCAGGUUUGAGGAUUGACUUUACUGUCUCUACUCACAUUUCCAGGCCUAUGUCUUUUUCAUAUACCCCAAUGUAUGUUACAGAAUGCCAUCCAAUGGGCCUUUUGUGCCUAUAAACCUUAUACAACUUUCAGCAACGGAUCUCUUGGCUCUCGCAUCGAUGAAGAACGCAGCGAAAUGCGAUAAGUAAUGUGAAUUGCAGAAUUCAGUGAAUCAUCGAAUCUUUGAACGCACCUUGCGCUCCUUGGUAUUCCGAGGAGCAUGCCUGUUUGAGUGUCAUUAAUAUAUCAAUCCUCUUCCGGCUUUUGCUUGUUGAGGAAUUGGAUAUGGGGGUUUUCUUUGCCGGUCUCUUUUCUGAGAUCAGCUCCCCUAAAAUGUAUUAGCAGAACAAUUUGUUAACUUGUUCAUUGGUGUGAUAACUAUCUACGCUAUUGACAGGAAGCAGGUUCAGCUUCUAACAGUCCAUUGACUUGGACAAAUUUU